rnacentral:rRNA from 1 species
GACGAACGCUGGCGGCGUGCCUAAUACAUGCGAGUAGAACGCUGAAGGAGGAGCUUGCUUCUCUGGAUGAGUUGCGAACGGGUGAGUAACGCGUAGGUAACCUGCCUGGUAGCGGGGGAUAACUAUUGGAAACGAUAGCUAAUACCGCAUAAGAGUAGAUGUUGCAUGACAUUUGCUUAAAAGGUGCAAUUGCAUCACUACCAGAUGGACCUGCGUUGUAUUAGCUAGUUGGUGGGGUAACGGCUCACCAAGGCGACGAUACAUAGCCGACCUGAGAGGGUGAUCGGCCACACUGGGACUGAGACACGGCCCAGACUCCUACGGGAGGCAGCAGUAGGGAAUCUUCGGCAAUGGACGAAAGUCUGACCGAGCAACGCCGCGUGAGUGAAGAAGGUUUUCGGAUCGUAAAGCUCUGUUGUAAGAGAAGAACGAGUGUGAGAGUGGAAAGUUCACACUGUGACGGUAUCUUACCAGAAAGGGACGGCUAACUACGUG